rnacentral:rRNA from 1 species
ACUCAAAUGAAUUGACGGGGGCCCGCACAAGCAGUGGAGCAUGUGGUUUAAUUCGAAGCAACGCGAAGAACCUUACCAGGGCUUGACAUCCCUCUGACGCACCCAGAGAUGGGUGUUCCCUUCGGGGCAGAGGAGACAGGUGGUGCAUGGUUGUCGUCAGCUCGUGUCGUGAGAUGUUGGGUUCAGUCCCGCAACGAGCGCAACCCCUGACCUGUGUUACCAGCGCGUGAAGGCGGGGACUCACAGGUGACUGCCGGCGUAAGUCGGAGGAAGGCGGGGAUGACGUCAAAUCAUCAUGCCCCUGAUGCCCUGGGCUACACACGUGCUACAAUGGGCGGUACAACGGGCAGCGAAGGGGCGACCCGGAGCGAAUCCCUGAAAGCCGCUCGUAGUUCGGAUUGCAGGCUGCAACUCGCCUGCAUGAAGCCGGAAUUGCUAGUAAUCGCGGAUCAGCAUGCCGCGGUGAAUACGUUCCCGGGCCUUGUACACACCGCCCGU